UACGUAGGGGGCAAGCGUUAUCCGGAUUUACUGGGUGUAAAGGGGGCGCAGACGGCAGCGCAAGCCAGGAGUGAAAGCCCGGGGCCCAACCCCGGGACUGCUCUUGGAACUGCGCGGCUGGAGUGCAGGAGGGGCAGGCGGAAUUCCUGGUGUAGCGGUGAAAUGCGUAGAUAUCAGGAGGAACACCGGUGGCGAAGGCGGCCUGCUGGACUGCGACUGACGUUGAGGCCCGAAAGCGGGGGGAGCAAACAGG
rnacentral:rRNA from 1 species